UCUAGAGUGGGAUGGGGGGGCUCUCUUGCUCCCUCUCAACUUGAUCUGUGUUGACCCUCUUUCUGUCCUCACCUCCUCCUGUUCUUCUGUUUUUAGCAUCAACAUGCUGAAGCUGCCAGAAUACCCCAGCAAGGCGGUCCUGCAGGAUCGGCUGCUGGUGGCUCUGCACUGUGGGAGCUAUGGAUACACCAUGGCCUGAAGCUAUGGGCUGUGCAGCUGCCUCUUCUGGCCAUGCAGUGCUCCCCUUUUCUCUUUCAGAACUCGCUGGUUCCUGCUGCAGAGCUGAGGGGCCUCUAGUUUUUACCUGCUGCACAAGUGAAGUUUUCACUGCAUCCAAACCAUCCAGAAUGACCAUCCAUACCACAGGUGGAUGAGGACACUUAACCCCUGCUAACUACAAGCUGGCCUUAUGGAGCUGCAGCGUGAGGUUCUACGUCUAACUUUGUCCAGUUUCUGAUAUCCAAGUUUGGUUUAUGCUGACUUGGAUCUGAUUGGUCCAGGAAGUCAGACCUGCUGGCCUGAGGGCUAGCCGCUUUUUAGUUAUUUAACAUAUCCAGUCAAAUCUCUAGUUUUUUAUUCCAUACAUGAGCUUGACUUGCUGUUUUCCCCUUUUUGCUGCUCCUUACGCUGCUGUCUGGACUUUUAGUUCUCUGGUUCUGGACUGUCUCCCUUCUGAUGUUGGUGUCAGAGAUGAUGCUGGAUCUUAAAGUUCCUUCUUGAAUCAUUGGGUGUUUGCUGUAAAUCUGCAAUGUUCUAUCCUUUUGGAGUUGUCAUGUGAGGUGUCUAUGCUGUCAGUGUUGGACAGAGGUGCCAGAAAAGGACAGCUGGAGUUUCUCCACAGCCCAUCUUUGUUCAAGCAGACCAAGAAAAGAAUGUUUCACUUUUUGUUCUGUUUCCAUUCUUACAGGGAUUACAGACAUUCAUUUCUCAUACCAUUGAUGAGCAUUUUUCUCUCUGAAACAUGUAAACAUUUGCUCUUAAUUGUUUGUAAAUAUAAUCUUUUUUUAAGGA